AUUAAGGACGAAAAAUGACGGUACUUAAUGAAUAAGCUCCGGCUAACUACGUGCCAGCAGCCGCGGUAAUACGUAGGGAGCAAGCGUUGUCCGGAUUUACUGGGUGUAAAGGGUGCGUAGGCGGCUUUGCAAGUCAGAUGUGAAAUCUAUGGGCUCAACCCAUAAACUGCAUUUGAAACUGUAGAGCUUGAGUGAAGUAGAGGCAGGCGGAAUUCCCCGUGUAGCGGUGAAAUGCGUAGAGAUGGGGAGGAACACCAGUGGCGAAGGCGGCCUGCUGGGCUUUAACUGACGCUGAGGCACGAAAGCGUGGGUAGCAAACAGGAUUAGAUACCCUGGUAGUCCACGCUGUAAACGAUGAUUACUAGGUGUGGGGGGUCUGACCCCUUCCGUGCCGGAGUUAACACAAUAAGUAAUCCACCUGGGGAGUACG
rnacentral:rRNA from 1 species